AUGUUAAACAAACGUAUGCCCAUCGAGAGCUAUGUACACUGUCAGUCUUCAUCCUUUUCAUCAUCCCUAAUCUUAUAUUGGCCCUCCACUUCAAUCUUCAAUUCCACUCAAAUAUGUGAGCUCGACCGCAGCAUUCUCGAACCUGUACAAAAAACACAGUAUAUCAAUUCAAACAAUGUUAUCCAACAAAGACCGGUUUAA